UCGGGAGUUGAUCCAGUUGCGGGUGCGCGUCGUCGUUUUGCGAGCGUCGGAACGUCGCCGCUACCGCGAGUGUUUGUAUCCGUCGCAUUCCGUUUUCUCCGUUGGUUGAGAAGAGAGGAGAGAAGAGUAGAGGCACGUGCUAACCUUGUCGUUGACCCAAACGAUUAUUCGCCAAGCCUUCGGCCAUCGGCGAAACUACCGAGGGACGUGUUUGCCUUUAGCGCUGGAUUUAACCGAACAUAACCUAGAACCCGUAGCACAAAGAGAGUCGGUACCUCGACGCGAGGGUCGGAUCUCCGUUCUCAUCUCUCAUUUUUUUCUCAAGAAGAGAGCGAGAUCGAGAGAGUCUCGUCGACCGGUGAAUUCUACGUAUGUAGACGUCGAAACUCUGCGUCAUCUCGACCACGUGACAACGGGCCGACUGUCAUUUGUCAACCGUUGUCAAAAUCCUCGCAUCCACCCUCCAGAUUGCAACAGGGGCAGGCCGAGAGAGAUAUCUACGAGUAAUCUGUCUCUUGGCAAGAGCGGGUUACAAGGACGGGAAUGAUCCUGGCUGGAAGUUGACGAUAACCAGUCUCAGCCGAGUCCUUCUUCCGGAAGCCUUAGCUCGGUCAGCGGCACGACUAUCGUCGCCCUUGCGGACCGCAGACGCGUAAAGCGUGGUGGCGGGAAUUGUGCGAGUGAAAGGAGAUGAAAGAUAAAGGGGAAAUCACGUCGUAAAAACCGCGAAGCCCUACGUCUCGCCUAAUUGACAGGGCGAGGGGAAAAGGCGAGGCUUCAGCCGUCCUCGCUAAGGAAAGAUCGCGAAUUUACGGCCGAGGGCCAAAUUCGAUCGAGCUAACGAGUAACGGCUUUCGCCUAAACAGGGCCGAAAAGGACCCUUAAAUUUCGAGCGAGAGGAAUUUUCUCACCCGAUUCGAAAAAGGGAGGAAACGCGUCUUUGGGUGGUAUUUUUUUUUUUUUUUUUGGAAGAGGAAGAAAUUGGGGGACGAACAGAAAGAAAGAUACUUUUCUCCUGAGCCGAGAGACGUCGAAACAGACACGAAGGCCCUGAUUCGAACUUACAUGCCAACCGGAUGGGGGAGGACGAGCUAAUAUCGUUCUCUUCGCUGGUUUGAUUGAUGAUCGCCGGAGAAAAGUCGCCGCGGCGAAACAGCUCCGACUUCCGGUGCAGCCAGUAACGCGUCUCACACCUGUCAAAAGAGUUCCUCGAUACCGGAAGUGAUAAUCAUGAAAGUUGAGCUGCCGAUGCGGCCUGGAUCAGGAUGCGAAAUUCCUCGAUGAUCUGACCUUGGGAUAAACGAGUUUUUCGCACAAAUGGGUUAAACGAUACGCGAGAAGACCGCGAUGGACGACGCCACGCUCAUUUACGUUUUGCAAAAUGGCGAUCGGGGCGGCGGAGUUGAACAGGAAGUACAAAGAGUCAAAACGGAUCACGGAAUCCUCUCGUUUUUAUUGUCGAGAAAUCUUAUGCUUUCCUUCGUCUUUAUCGGGUCUGAUUUAUCAGUGCAAAAGUUAUGAUAAUUCACGUGCUGCUGCUGAAAAAAAUUGUUGUCAUUGUGGAUCGUGGAUACAUGAUAGUAGAGAAGAAAUAUUGAGGAUACUCUCGCGUAUAACGUGCUGGAAAAUUAAUCGGAACUAGUUAGAUCAAUUUUUAUACCGAUAAAUUGAAGGUGUGCAUCAUUUUUGUCGGGAUUAUCAGUCGACUUAUUGCAUUUUUAUACUUUUUAUUUAAAUAAUUUUUAUGGAAACUUUUCGUUUUCUAUUACUUUACACUCAUAACGAAACGACCAUACGAAAUUCUUUAUUUUUCGAUUGUGUUCUCGAUUCGACGUACGCUCGCUGUUUAAUGUUUAUUCUCUGUUUUACCACAUUUUAUUAACUUCUUUUGAUCUGGUAUUUUUUAUCAAAGAGAAGUGGGUCGCGUUGGGGAGAAACAAGCUGCGUAGAAUUUUGUUUGUAUCCAUUAGCUUCUACCAUAUAUGAUACUGUACGCAAAUUCAGUUCGUGGCGCAGCGAUAGUCGAGAAUUUUUUGGUUUAUAUUUUUUGGGAAUGAGAAAUAUUGAGAUUAUUUUCAAAAAGUGUGAAUAAUCAAAUAAGCAAAGAAGGCGUUUUCGCAUAAAUACAAAUUCGUUCAAUUUUACUGAACACGAGGUUUAAUCGGGACUUUUAUAAAAUAACACAUUAAUCAAUUCCAAAAUUGAGAAUCAAUGAGAUUGAAUCCAGCCAAAGUAUCAUUAAAUAAUUACCAGUGCAGUGGGAUAUCAAAAAGUGUUGUCUGCGCUAUCAGAAGGUAUCUGUGUACCUGUAACGUCCGCGAGUGUUCAGUGCUUAAAUUUUAGUAACGACAAAAAAUAAAUAAAUAAAUAAAUAGACAAAUAAGUUGAUAAAUAUCUAUAAAUAUUCGGUGUAGAGGAAAAAGAAGAAAACAUCAGUAUUUGGCUCGUAAAACACUCUCUUUUUUUCGCAACUCACUCUUUUGUAAAUCAAACCGUCGUGAAAAUUAUUUUUUAAACAAAAAUAAACACAGUUUCAAUAUAUUGUACGCAUGUACGAAUAUUUAAUUAUCCAUCGUCGCAUCUGGCGCCUGUAAAUAUAUUGCCUGUAUGUAUAACUACCUAUAUAAUAUAUAUUUAACGAGAGAACGAAGAUAAAUAAUCUGCUCACGUACAUGAUAUCAAAUUAAAAGAAACGAGUGUGUAAUAAUUUAUUAGUAAAUUGUUAAUUCGCGAUGGUUGUAAUCUCGGGUGGAGACGCCGGCAUUCAAUUGCUAGGCUCUCUGGUACCGCGUUGCGUUGUUAAACAAACAACCGUGAAACGAUGCGUCGCCGCACUUCUCCUCGUCUCCAUCUUCAGCAUCUUUUAUUACACCUACUAUGUGAUCAGCAGUCCAUUUGCCAGCCUGAUUCACCGGGACACGAGACCCGAGCCCGCCAUAAGAUGUUCGACGCUUCGAGGGGCGACGAGAUUGCCGACAGCUCCGGAUCAUCGUAGCGAAGCUCGACUACGAAUCGACCCUAAGGUUCUCGUCUUCGUUGAAACAUUGUACUCGAAGUUGGGCCGAGAAAUCGAAGACCUACUCGUUUAUAACAGGAUAAAGUACAAGGUUGAGGUCGCCGGAAAGUCCCUGCCGGUGCUGACCAACCUCGACAAGGGCCGCUACGGUGUUCUAGUCUUUGAAAAUUUAAACAAGUAUCUGCAGAUGGACAAAUGGAAUCGAGAACUACUCGACAAAUACUGCAGGGAAUACUCCGUUGGCAUAGUGGGUUUUGCUCCGCCAGGCGAAGAGAGUUUAGUCGGUGCUCAGGUGAAGGGUUUCCCGCUCUUCAUACACACCAACCUCAGGUUAAAGGACGCGCAACUUAACGCGGCAUCACCUAUACUCCGGUUAACCAGAGCCGGUGAGACUGCGUGGGGACCACUUCCGGGUGGUGAUUGGACUAUUUUUCACGCUAAUCACAGCACGUACGAGCCGUUGGCCUGGGCGUACAGAGACACCUUGGAUUAUCCGACGAAGAAAACCCCGCUGGAAACCGUUGUACAGGAUCAUGGACGCUACGACGGUAUCCAGAGGGUGCUUUUCGGGGGAGGUCUUCGUUUCUGGCUCCACAAAUUGCUGCUUCUCGAUUCGUUGUCGUACCUAUCUCACGGUCAGCUGAGUCUCAGCCUUAACCGGAUGAUAUUGGUGGACAUUGACGAUAUAUUUGUCGGUGAAAAAGGGACGAGAUUGAAGAAGGACGACGUUCUCGCCUUACUUGCCACCCAGCAAAGGAUUCAGGCUCUCGUGCCGGGGUUCAAAUUCAACUUGGGGUUUUCAGGGAAAUACUUUCACCACGGUACGACGGAGGAGAAUUACGGCGACGAUAUGAUUCUCGAAAACGUCGACAGAUUUACGUGGUUUUCCCACAUGUGGAACCACCAACAACCCCACCUCUACGAGAAUGUAACGCAUCUACAGCUGGACAUGGCGUUGAACAAACAGUUCGCUAAAGAGCACGGUAUCCCAACUGGGAGUGGUUACAGUGUCAGUCCGCAUCACUCGGGAGUUUAUCCGGUUCACGAGGGUCUCUACGAGGCUUGGAAAAAGGUGUGGAACAUCAAAGUUACAAGCACUGAAGAAUAUCCUCAUUUAAAGCCCGCGAGGCUCAGGAGGGGCUUCAUUCACCGGAAUAUCAUGGUUCUGCCAAGACAGAUAUGUGGUUUGUUCACUCAUACGAUAUUCAUAGAGCGGUAUCCCGGGGGAAGAGAUAAGCUGGACGAAUCCAUACAAGGAGGGGAAUUGUUUCAAACUAUCGCCUACAAUCCUAUCAAUAUUUUCAUGACGCAUAUGUCGAAUUAUGGGAACGACCGAUUGGCACUAUACACCUUCGAAUCGGUGAUAAAGUUCAUUCAGUGUUGGACCAAUUUGCGACUAUCCAGUGCACCGCCGUUACAGUUAGGCGAGAAAUAUUUCCAGCUUUAUCCAGAAGAGGCAGAUCCUAUCUGGGGUAAUCCAUGCGACGAUCCAAGACACCAGAAAAUAUGGUCUCGUAACAAGACCUGCGACCAACUACCAAGGUUCCUUGUUAUUGGUCCACAAAAAACUGGAACCACUGCACUUUACACGUUUCUAUCCAUCCACCCGGCUAUCAGCAGUAAUCUUCCCACUCCCGAUACCUUCGAAGAGAUCCAAUUCUUCAAUGGAAAGAAUUAUUACAGAGGACUGGAUUGGUACAUGGGCUUCUUUCCCGUUGCUAAGAACGAUAGCGCACGUUACCUUUUCGAAAAAUCCGCAACAUACUUUGACGGAGAGCUAGUACCACGUAGAUCGCAAGCUCUUCUACCUCGAGCUAAAUUGAUUACCAUUUUACUGUCACCUGCGAGGAGGGCAUAUUCGUGGUAUCAACACACUAGAGUCCACGGCGAUCCAGUAGCGAACAAUUACACGUUUCACAGCGUGAUCACAGCUAGUGACACAGCGCCAAAACCUCUCAGAGACUUGAGGAACAGGUGCUUGAAUCCUGGAAAAUAUGCCCAACAUUUGGAGAGGUGGUUGUCAUACUACCCACCGCAGCAGCUGCACAUCAUUGACGGAGAACAGCUGAGACACAAUCCAGUCGAGACGUUACACGAAUUGCAGAGAUUUUUAAAAAUAACACCAGCUUUUAAUUACUCUACUCACCUUAGGUAUGAUCCCAAAAAGGGAUUUUUCUGUCAAGUGACAAACGAGGACCAUACCAAAUGCCUUGGGAAAAGCAAGGGGCGGCAGUAUCCACCUAUGGAGGAUAGGUCUUAUAAAUUACUGCAGAGGUACUAUCUGUCGCACAACACGGCUUUGGUGAAGCUUUUCAAACGACUUGGAUCGAGAACAAUUCCACAAUGGUUGAAGGAUGAUCUCACGGAUACAGUGAUGACCUAACCAACUGCUGUUGCUAUCGACGUAAUUUGUCAAUCGUCGCUUCCAUGGAAGCACACCUGUACAUUGCUCCGGCAGAUCUCUGAAGAAGAACUAAGACGAUCUCUUGGAAUUCGUAUUGACUCGAGGGACGUAAGUUAUCACGAUUCAAAACAUUUCUAAGAAUACCUGUAUGAAAUUUUGACACUAUCAUGAAUUUUUCUAUGUUUACUUUAGGCUAAUUUUAUUUUAUUGAAAAUGUACUUUCAUCGACGUGGCUAUAGAUUCUCUGUUUUUUUAUCAACUUACGCACCAUAGUCCUAUAUAAUGAGUUCAUAUAAUGAAUGUACCUACGGGUGAGAUGAAAAAAACUUUCGGAAACAGUGUAUAAUUAUUUUCGUCGAAUCUGUUUAGACAAUGCAAAAGAGAGACGAUAAACAUCAAAUGUGUCUAUGUAUAUUUUGAGAAUACUGUUACGAGUAACGGAAUUUAAAUGAACCUAAUUGGAUCACGUCCGUUUGUAGAUUUGGUGUGAUAUGCUAUUUUGAUGUGAAAAUAGAUGAAUUGUGUUGAACGAAAAUUGUAUAUAAAUUAAAUAUUCAGAUUCAUUACGUUACCUUAUAUGCGCACCUUAACAUCUUUCAAUUGUGAAUUUUAAGAUAAAAAAAGGGCCCCACCGCGUCCUUCGAUCAUUUUCUUGAAAUCCUAAUUUGCAAAAUAUCAAUCGAUUGGUGUAAGCCCGAUGUUAUUUGAUUAAUGAACACCCAGAGGUGGUCUAAGUGACCAAAAAAAUGCUCCAAAGCAAUGUCAAUGAUUGUGUAUAUAACUGAUUUCUACAACGUACCAGUGUCAAACAGUGCUUGACGAUUAUUAUUAAUAAGCAGAAGUCAAAAUUUUGAUAUAAUUUUGUAAAAAGAAAUCCAAAAGAAAGUGAAACUUCAUAUAUGAACGUAAAAAUCUUAGCAGUACGCACGUUGCGACAGAAAUUCUACUUAAAACUCUGACGUAUACUCUUCAAAUUUCUACUGUAUUUUCUUUCUCCUGUAUUCCGUUUUUUCCAACGCACAGACGUGAAUGAUGCGAUGGCGUUCGCAUAUUUUUUAUGCAAACAGUUAAAUUUUAUAUUUAGUCGAUACAAAUAUACGAUUAAAGUGAUAGAUUUUUAUUUUUAUUCUUACUAAUCAACGGUACAUUGAAUUUUAGCAUAUACUUUUAAUAGAGAUUAUUUUAAUGAUAUAUUUUUAUUGUUAUUUUGUAUAUUAUUUUACUUUGUUUUUCACCGUUAUCUAACGGUAAUGUUUAACGAAUCAUGUACAAAGUUAAGUGUUGAUACUCUAUUAUUAUCUGUUAAUUAAAUGUGCCAUUUUACUGGUGUUGUAAAUAUCAAAUUAGCCUGAUCGAUUAUAUAGGAUGGAUAAUAAAUAAUAUAGUAUGUUGUUUCAUGUGGUAAAUCGCGGCGGUGAAGUCGAUAAUCAAAACUCUUGGAGACUUGUUCGGUUGAUUGGUCUAUUGAUUCUAUCGGCUGACAAUAAAAUUUGAAAUCAAUUUAUAAAACCACACGAACAAAUAUAUACAUUUUUAUUUUUCCAGUCAUACUAACUUGUGCAUAAUUUAUGUAUAUUGUAUGUGUACAUACGUAACAGGGAAUUACAUUGCCGAGAAUUGAUGUACACAUUGAAAAAUUGCAAAAAAUCACGAGAGAAAAAUGAUACCAUAUACAAUUGGUGUACAACAUUAUAAUAGGAUUCUCAUUAUCAAACUUAUAAAAAUACAAUAAUGUUAAUAAUAAUUCUAUUGUAAAAUAAUGUAAUGAAUGUACGAAUAGUCGAUAAGUUCUGAUAAAAGUAAUAAUCAAAAA
rnacentral:misc_RNA from 1 species